AACCACUCACGCCUGGCGUGGUGUUGGGGCACGCGGUCUCGCGGCCCUCAAAAGCAGUGGCGGCGCCGGUGGGCUCUAAGCGUAGUACAUACUCCCGCUAUAGAGUUCCCUCGGUGGCUCGCCAGAACCCCCUAAUUUUUACC
rnacentral:misc_RNA from 1 species